rnacentral:sRNA from 1 species
UUUUUGUUUAAAGUUAAUUUUUCAUAUUUUUUAGAUAAAAAUUAUUUUUAAAAUAUAUAUAUAUAUAUAUAUAAUAUUUUUGUUUUUAAGUGUUAGAGUUUAAUAUGUGUAAAAUAAUUGGACACAACAUCCCGUCCAUAAUAUGAGGUCCUUCAGCGAUGUCCUAGGUUCUAUCUAUUUUGCACAUAUU